GACGAACGCUGGCGGCGUGCUUAACACAUGCAAGUCGAACGAAGUGGCGAACGGGAGAGUAAUACGUGGGUACCCUUCCCUGCUUUUUGGGAUAAGCCUUGGAAACGGGGUCUAAUACCGAAUAAAGGGGGAUGGGCUCUCGGCUUAUCAGCUUGUUGGUGGGGUGAUGGCGUACCGAGGCGGUGACGGGUAGCAGGGCUGAGAGGGCACACUGCCACUGGGGGACGGAGAAACGGCCAAGAGUACGACGCGGGGGAGCAGUGGGGGCAAUGGCACAAAGGGAGAAAGCCUGAUGCGGCGAUGCUGAGUGGGGUAUGAAGGCUUUAGGGUUGUGACCCUCUGUCGCUAUCGAACCGGUAGGUGGAGAAGAAGCGCCGGCUAACUACGUGCCAGCAGCCGCGGUAAUAC
rnacentral:rRNA from 1 species